rnacentral:rRNA from 1 species
UACGUAGGUGGCGAGCGUUGUCCGGAUUUACUGGGCGUAAAGAGCGCGCAGGCGGUCGUACAAGUCGCGUGUGAAAGCCCCCGGCUCAACUGGGGAGGGUCACGCGAUACUGUUCGACUCGAAGGCAGGAGAGGGAAGUGGAAUUCCCGGUGUAGUGGUGAAAUGCGUAGAUAUCGGGAGGAACACCAGUGGCGAAGGCGGGUUGCUGGGCUGACACUGACGCUGAUGUGCGAAAGCUAGGGGAGCGAACGGG